GACGAACGCUGGCGGCGUGCCUAAUACAUGCAAGUAGAACGCUGAAGAGAGGAGCUUGCUCUUCUUGGAUGAGUUGCGAACGGGUGAGUAACGCGUAGGUAACCUGCCUUGUAGCGGGGGAUAACUAUUGGAAACGAUAGCUAAUACCGCAUAACAAUAGGUGACACAUGUCAUUUAUUUGAAAGGGGCAAUUGCUCCACUACAAGAUGGACCUGCGUUGUAUUAGCUAGUAGGUGAGGUAACGGCUCACCUAGGCGACGAUACAUAGCCGACCUGAGAGGGUGAUCGGCCACACUGGGACUGAGACACGGCCCAGACUCCUACGGGAGGCAGCAGUAGGGAAUCUUCGGCAAUGGGGGCAACCCUGACCGAGCAACGCCGCGGGAGUGAAGAAGGGUGUCGGAUCGUAAAGCUCUGUUGUAAGUCAAGAACGAGUGUGAGAGUGGAAAGUUCACACUGUGACGGUAGCUUACCAGAAAGGGACGGCUAACUACGUG
rnacentral:rRNA from 1 species